rnacentral:sRNA from 1 species
CUUCAUUAAUCUGUUGCGGACAAAUGAAAUGAAUAUGGCUAUCAAACCCUCCCGCCGUGAUAAUCUUCCCUUCACCCGCAAUAACAUCCGUACAACUCCCCACCACCAUAUUACUCCCUACGCCAUCCAUAACAUCCGGAUUGCCCGCCUUCCCAAUACCCACAAUAUACCCAUCUUUGACACCGAUAUCCGCUUUAUAGAUUCCACUCCAAUCGACAAUCAAAGCGUUCACAAUGACUAGAUCUAGAGAGUCAGAAUCCGAGACGCCGGUUGCUUGACCCAUUCCCUCGCGUAAUG